GAUGAACGCUGGCGGCGUGCCUAAUACAUGCAAGUCGAGCGAACAGACGAGGAGCUUGCUCCUCUGACGUUAGCGGCGGACGGGUGAGUAACACGUGGAUAAUCUACCUAUAAGACUGGGAUAACUUCGGGAAACCGGAGCUAAUACCGGAUAAUAUAUUGAACCGCAUGGUUCAAUAGUGAAAGACGGUUUUGCUGUCACUUAUAGAUGGAUCCCCGCCGCAUUAGCUAGUUGGUAAGGUAACGGCUUACCAAGGCAACGAUGCGUAGCCGACCUGAGAGGGUGAUCGGCCACACUGGAACUGAGACACGGUCCAGACUCCUACGGGAGGCCGCAGUAGGGACUCUUCCGCAAUGGGCGAAAGCCUGACGGAGCAACGCCGCGUGAGUGAUGAAGGUCUUCGGAUCGUAAAACUCUGUUAUUAGGGAAGAACAAAUGUGUAAGUAACUAUGCACGUCUUGACGGUACCUAAUCAGAAAGCCACGGCUAACUACGUG
rnacentral:rRNA from 1 species